UACAGAGGGUGCGAGCGUUAAUCGGAAUUACUGGGCGUAAAGGGCUCGUAGGUGGCCAACUAAGUCAGACGUGAAAUCCCUCGGCUUAACCGGGGAACUGCGUCUGAUACUGGAUGGCUUGAGUUCGGGAGAGGGAUGCGGAAUUCCAGGUGUAGCGGUGAAAUGCGUAGAUAUCGGGAGGAACACCAGUGGCGAAAGCGGCGCUCUGGGCCUAAACUGACGCUGAGGGGCGAAAGCGUGGGGAGCGAACGGG
rnacentral:rRNA from 1 species